AACUUUCAGAUCAGACCAGGCCCAUGCUCAAAGCUAUUUCAAAUGCCCAAUUCAACAGUUCAAAAUUACGCAUCAUUCAACAUGUAAUCGACCCCUACUGAACAAGUUUAAUUGUACACAUAUCCACCAAUUACAUAACAGGAGACUACACUAUCAAAAAUACAGGCUGCUUUCAGUUGAAUAACAGGCCCUGGAACAUUUUGUUUCAACUUCAACGAGCAUACAUCAGUGAGAUUCAGGGAAAUGUACCUGGAAAUUGGAAUGUAAAUAGAGAAAAGGAGAGGAAUCAGCUAUUUUCAACAGCAACAGCAACCAACCAAGCAGUGUUACACCACAGGAACACAGGCAGAUUGCUUUGAAACCAAAAUAUAAGAAAAUUCCCACAGAUCAGUUUAACAUACUCCUAACAUACCCCUGACCCUCACAGCUGAAACCAAAACUAGUAAUGAAACUGUGAAGCUGUUUCAGAUUUCUCCAUAUUUUGAUGUUUUUGCUUUCUGAAUAGUUUUUGGAAAAUAAAAUGCUGAUUGAAAUCAAAAGCAAUAAUGAAUGCUCCAAUUGAGACUUAGAGUUCAAGGCAGAAAGAUGGAGAGCAGACCCCCUUUCCCAAGGCAUUUUAUGCCCUUUUAUAGGCAACCCCAAAGAGAAUAGACUAGAAUCGGAUUUACCAUUCAGUCCCUCUCUAUUUUCAAAUUAGUCCCUCUAGUUUUACAUUGCUAAACAAGUAACUACACUAUAAUUAUCAAAAUCUAUACUUGCACCCAUUCUAGAAGGCCCUAAGGUAUUCCUCUACCUAUACAAUACCUAUAUUGCCCUUCCCUAUACCCUGAUAUUACUAUUCCUAUCAAAAUUACCCUUUUCCAUACCCAGAUUACCCCUGAAAGCCUUUCAAAAUCACUGAACCUACCCUCAUCCUUAACAGCUAUACCCAAUAUCCUAAACCAUUCUGAAACUAACUGAAAUUAAUCAACUAACAUUCAGAAACUAGCUAAUCAGACUGACUAAACCAAUUAUGUUCAAUUAACCGACUCGAACAAGCUAAACGAAAAUAAACUGAGCUUAAGCUACCACGAUUAAUAUUAAAUGAACUUAAAACUAAUUCUCAAACCAUGAACUUAUAAUCAUUCAACCAAAUAUCAAGCUCAGAAUCAACAGUAAUUAACAAAACUUAAACUAACACAUUCAAACCAUGAAAUUAACAGAACAAAUAAUGAACAACAACUGUAAAUAAUACUUCAAUCAUGCAAGUAAAAGAAUCAGUAAAAAAAAUACUCACAAAGGCAUAAGGGAUUCCGGCCAGUCAGAAAUACCUGAAUCCGUUCAGAUUUUUGACGCGUAACAUCCCUAACCGUGUGUUCUUACAAGAGAACACAUGGUUAAGGAUACUACGGUUCGAAAUCAAAAGGAUUUGGUUUUAGGGUUUUGGUCGUAAAUUAUUAGAUCUAAGAUUUGGGCCGUUUCAUGGUGAUUUGAAAGAAAACAACCACGGAUUAGUGUUGAGGAAGGUCUGAGGGUUGUGGGGUAUGAUUUUGGACUGAUUUGGACGAACCGGUCACUUGGCCGGAAAACUUCAAACCAAGAUUCGAAGAGUUCCGGCCUUAUUCGAGGUAAACCAAUGGGUGCAGUGGAAAGAGGAGGGUGAGGGGGGCCUGUGGUGUUAAUCUCAGGGUGAACGGCAUAGUUUAUGUUCACCGCCGGCAAGGAUUUUAGGGGCCGCGCAGAUUAGGGUUUGAGGAGAAGGGGUGGGGUGAAGAAGACGAUGCAAAUGGGGGUAGGGGGGAAGGGUUUGGACACUUAAAUACUAAGAACCUCGUCAGUUCCGGACCGUUGGAUUGAUGAGAUCCAACGGUCCUGAUCCAAGGACCCCGAAACGACGUCGUUUCAUUUAAAAGGGGGGCAGACCGGGUAGGGACUUGGGCUGGACUGAAUCGGGAUGCUUGGGGCGUUUGGGCCAACGGAUUAAAUGCAAAAGUGGCCCAAAUUUGGCCGUUAAUAACCACUCCCUCUACAUUCUUUUUAAUAAUAAUUUUUCCAUUUUUCAUUUUGCAAUCUUGUAUUUUUUGUAUUUAUUUUUCUAUGUGAAAUUAAACUAACAAUUAAGCUAAAACCAAUUAAUGCCUAAAAUUAACUUAAUAACUAUUUGCGACCAUUUCACAAUUAAAAUAAUAAAAUGCAAAAGUGAACUAUUUUUGUCAUUUUCUUCAUAUCCUAUUCUAAAACAAAUUAAUCCCUAAUUAAUACUAAAGUAUAAAAUUAAAUCCUAAGUGCGAAUGCAUAUUUUAUGUAUUUUUUGUAUGAGUUAACGUGCACAAAUAAAAAUGAAAUAAUUAUCAGAAAAUGACACCAAAAUGCACAAUAAUGAAGAAAAAUCAUUUUGCUUGAAUUUUGGGAAUAAUUCAUAUAUAGGGCAAAAAUCACGUGCUCACACGUGUAUGUUUGGUUUAGAGCCCCGAGGGCUCGGAUGAGUUUGGAUAGGCCACAGAGUGAUUUUGGACUUAGGGAGAUUGCUGGUAUGUUUCAGCUGUGUAGUAGGCCCCUGAUCUCUCAAUUGCGAGAUCAGGCAUCGCAAUUGCGAUGUAAACAGUGACCGUAAAUGCGAGCUUGUGCUUCGCAAAUGCAAAAAAGGUCAGGGCCAGCUUUUCUCGCAAAUGCGAGAUUUACUUCGCAAAUGUGAAGUUUUCCAGGUAGGCUAGUGGUCGCAAAUGCAACAAAAUUGUCGCAAAUACGAAGGCAUCAGAGAUUGUAAAGGUUCGCAUUUGCGAUGAUUUUCUCGCAAUUGCGAGCUUCGCAAAUGCGAAGCUCCAGUCGCAAUUGCGACAUCUGCAACUGAUCAAAACAUCAUUUGGACGGGAUUUUCACUUCACUUCUCAAUUUUCAAACCCUAAGCCCCCAUAGGCGAUUUUCUUGAAGAGAGUUCUUCCCCAAAUCAGAGGUAAACGAUUUCUAACUCAUUUUCUUCAAUCUAUUUCAUCUUUUUACAUGAUUUCACUUAAAAAUCUAGGAUUUUCAUGGGAAAUUGGGUAAUUUUGGGUAGAAAUUAGGAUUUUAGAAUUUUGCGGAUUUGGAUCUCAAUUUGAGGUUGGAUUUCAAAACUAAUUGAAUAUUUGAGUUCAUGGGUGAUCGGGUUUUGGUUCGAACUUCAGGUUUUGACCAAGCGUGCCCGGGGUCGAUUUUUGACUUUUUGCGAAAAACAUUGGGAAAUCUAUUUUCAUGCAUUAGAAUUGGUUUAUUUAGCAUUUAUUAAUGUUAUUAAGUAAAUUAUGACUAGAUACAAGCGGAUUGGAAGUGGAACCGAGAAAUUGAGGUGAGUGUUUGGUCUAACCUUAGCUUGAGGGAAUAGGAGUUGUGGUCUAAAUUGCUACGUGUUAGUGUUGAAUACAACGUAUAGGCAUGGUGACGAGUAUCUGUACGUUGGUGGCAAGCAUGCCCAUGAGUCUUAUACCAUGAUUGUUGUGACUCUAUUGUGUAUUAUCCAUGCUUAGGUUGAUGAUUAUUAAUGUUGAACAUGAUUCAUGAUAAUUUCUUGGUGAUUAACCAUUGUUGAGUAUUGGGUCAAGUUGAGAUCCAUUUUGUAAAGUAACUGUUGAAAUAAGAUUGGUUAUAGCUGAUUCUUUGAUUCCCUUGAUGGGGCAUAUUGUUUCUAUUGUUUGGGUGAGGGAGAGUGUAAAGCACGAAGGGUGAUAUCGUGCAUGAUAUUGUGAUUGAGUGUUAAUGCACAAAGGGUGAUGUCGUGCCGAUAAUGUGAGUGUAAUGCACGAAGGGUGAUGUCGUACCAUGAUUUGAGUGUAAAUGCACGAAGGGUGAUGUCGUGCCGAUAUUUUGAGAAUUAAUGCACGAACGGUGAUGUCGUGCCAUGAUUAUGAGAGGUAAUGCACGAAGGGUGAUGUCGUGUCGUUUUUGUUGAUUCAUGUGGUGAGAACAAGAGUAAAAGCACGAAGGAUGAUGUCGUGCAUGUGUUACUGUCUCAUUAUUCUUAUUGAUACAAAUAUGAUGUUCAUUAUGCUUCACUAUUGGUUUAUUGUUAGAAUUUGAUAUCCCCCGCAGCAUGUCCCUUUCCCAUCUGUAUUUGUUAAUUUCCUAUUGUUAAUGUUCUGUUCAUAUAUGAUUUAACUGCACAGGUUUAUAUGGUUGUCGUGUUAUAGCCUCAUCACUACUUUGUCGAGGUUAGGCUCGAAACUUACCAGUACAUGGGGUGGGUUGUACUGAUACUACACUCUGCACUCUUUUGUGCAGAUUUCAGUGCCGGACCCGGUGAGUAGCUGAGGUAGAUGCUUUCAGUCCACGGUGACCAAGGUAGAUCUAUUGGCGUACAUAGAGCCUAAAGUCCCCUUCCCUGUUUAGCUUUUCGUUGUCUCUUUUCAUUUCUAGAAUAGCUGUACUUUUCUUUCUAAGCCAGUGUUUGUAGAAAUUCGUAGAUGUUCAUGAAAUUAUGACACUGGAUUCGUGGGUAGACAUGUAUUGGAGUAUUUGAAUUGUUAUAACUCUUUCGAACAUUAUAUCUGCUUAGCUUAAGUUAUUAAUUAUAUUUGUUUGGGUUAAUUAUUAAUGUGUUAUAAUUAUGGUAGUUGGCUUGCCUAGCUUUCACGAGUAGGCGCCAUCACGUCUCCCGAGAGUGAAAAAUCUUGGUCGUGACAGAAGUUCCCCAACACAAGGUUAGGCAAGCCAUUUACCUGGAACUGCUCAAAUCAACCCGAUAUCAUGCUUUUGCCAUAAGUAUCUGACUCUAAAUGGCCCAAAUCUAAUCAAACCAAUUGCAUAAUGUAAAUAUAACUACAAGUAACUAAUUUAACUAAUGAAAUCAAGCUAGGGUAAGAAAAUAGGAAAAACGCCCAAAAAUCCUCCCCGGGCCCAUGUCUCGGAAUCGGGUAAAAGUUACCAAUUUAGAACACCCAUUCAUUCACGAGAUCACUCGUCCAAAAAUUAUUUAAUUCUAACGCUUAAAACCUGAUCAAAACCCAAAAGUUUGAUUGGGGAACUUUUCCCCUCAAAUUCCCAUUUCUUCCACUCAAAUUCCUUGAUUAGAUGGAGAAAAUUACUAUAGAUUGAUGAAAUAUAAACAAAAUAGGAUUAAGAAUCAUUAUCCACUGACUUUCUCUUCAAAACCCUCUCAAAAUCGCCUUCUCCCUAGCUAAAAAUCGAAUUUGGUGUUAUGAAGUUUCAAACCCUCAAAAUCCUCUUUUCUGCCUAGUGAUUUCCGCUUCUGCGGUCACUGGGCCGCAUCUGUGGAAAAAUCAUCGCAAGUGCGAAGGUCACUUAUCCGGGCUGGGGUCGCAUCUGUGGUCAAUGGGCCGCAUCUGCAGUUCCUGAUGCCCAAGCCAAAAGCUGCAUAUGCGGCUUCUUAGCCUCUUCUGCGGCUCCGCACCUGCGGUCCCUCAUCCACAUGUGCGAUUAUAUCAUGUGCAGUAAAUCUUCAGCAAUGCCUAAGUUCUAAACCAGAUCCGUUAAGCAUCCAAAACUCAGUCGAGGCCCCCAAGGCCUCAACCAAAUAUACCAACCAAUCCUAAAACACAAUACGAACUUAGCCGAGCCCUAAAAUCACAUCAAACAGCGCUAAAACCACGAAUAAUCCGCCAAUCCAAACCUACUAAACUUGAAAUUCUAAAAUUCUACAACCGAUGCCGAAACCAACCAAACCAUGUCUGAUUGACCCCAAAUUUUUCACACAAGUCAUAAUCACCACUAUUGACCUAUCCCAACUUCCGGAAUCAGAUUCCAAACCCGAUAUAAAAAAUUUCAGUGUCGGCCCAAAACUCCAAAAAUUCAACUUUCGCCAUUUCAAGCCUAAAUAAUCUAUGAACCUCCACAACACAAUCUGGACACGCCCCUAAGCCCGAAAUCAUCCAACAAAGCUAACGAAAUUAACGAAAUUCCAUUCCAGAUUCGUCUUCAUAUUAUUCCAACUACGAUCCAAAUUCUAUGACGUAAACUCUCAUUUGGGGACUAAGUGUCCCAAAAUACUCUGAAACUCAACAUGAACCAUCCUCGCAAAUCACAAUAGCAGAAAAAGACAUGGGGAAAUUAUUUAACAGGGGAUCGGGGCGUUAAUUCUCAAAAUGAUCGGCCGGGUCGUUAGAGGAACCCUCUUCUCUUUGUAUCUUCUAAGUCUUCUGGGAAGCGUGCGCUUUGUGUGGCUUCUUUUCUGUUAGAGUCAUACCCUAAUUUAGAAUGUGGCUCGGACAAGUUGCAAAGCCGGUGAAGCUUCUAAAUUCCUGGUACGCUGCCCCCCUCGGCUCGAGUUGUCCCUCGGGUAAGCCAGAUCUAGAACAAUACAUCCCAUAACUAGAAUAACAUAGCCUCAUGUCGGAUCUCUAGUAGGACGUUUGUUUGCAUUACCUGCAUUUGAAUUUGGGGACUCAAAACAGGGGUUGGGUCUGUCUAGGAUAGGUGUUUCCAAAUUAAAAAGACCAUUCGGAUGCAUCUUACGUGCUACUUACGCAUUUGCUUGUUUCGGCUUGCAUGUUGAUUGGCUUCUAGAAUAGGAAAGAGAAAUCAAGGAAACCAAGAUUGAGGUAGGAGAGAGAAAAUCACUUGUUUCUAAAAAUCUCAUUAUUCAAAAUAUCUCAAAACUCUGCCAAAUUUUUUUAAAAAAAAAGAGAGAAAAAGUCAUAUCAAAAAAUCAUAUUUUCCUUUUGCGUCAAAACUUACCGAGCUACGUGGGUUUGGUUCUCACCAGGUUUGGGAUACGUAGUCAACCCUCAUUGGGUCUAGCUCGCUUUUGCAACAAUAACCAAAAAUAUGAAAAUGUUGUCAUUGUCGUGAAUAAAGUUAGGUGAUGUCGUUCUUGUCCAAGUAGCUAGAAAUGUCCCGUCCGGACACUGGAAGGCCAUUUUUGCAAGAAUAGUCGCUUAUGGUCCUUUUUCUAGUUUUUGGCCAUUUAGCAAACACAGCCCUAAAAUCUUCCCUUCCAAAGUGCUGAAGGGCCGUAUUUGUAAAUGUAGCCGUGAUUUGUUUUAAAUAAAAAAAAUUCAAAAUAAUCUUUUGUUUGGUCAGUUUUCAAACGGAACUCGCAUGUUUUAACUAGCCACCCUAAUUUAAAUGUGCAGAAUAAGCACCAUUGAGAAUCUACCUUUUUGAGUCGUAGAUGAGAUUCCACUAGGACUCCAUAUGUGGUGGAACGACCUGGGGGAGGUCGGCAAGAGUGUUGUGACAAAGGCUUUAGGUGGACUCAUCGAUCUUCUGAAAAUUAAACCAAGAGUUGAUAUAAUUGUAGCUUUGAUACCUUUUUGGGACCCGACACACAAUGUUUUCCACUUCUCUGAUUUUGAGCUGACCUCUACACUAGAGGAGAUAGCAGGUUAUGAUGGUCUUGACAGGAAUCUCAAACACCAAUAUCUAGUAGCACCAAGAACUAUAAUCUCUCAUAAGUUUUUGGACCUUCUAAGUAUUAGUCGGCAAGUUAAAGAUGAAAAUUUGGCCGGAGGAUUCUACAUAUUCCACUUCUUAUACCGCCAUUAUGGGGACCCCUGUGGAUUUGAGGCUCCGGACACUGGUUUGAGUCAUCAGGGAUAUAAUAACAAAUGGGAAGCACGCAGAGGUUUGGCCUUCAUAGUGGCAUUUUUGGCACUUUGAUAUGCCCAAGGAGUGACAGACAUAUAGAACUGGGGCUUGCAAGAAUGGCUGACUUUAUGGUGAAAAAGGCCAAUGGCACUAUCAUACCGAUGAUUCUCACAUAAAUUUAUUGAGCUUUAACUGUUUGUCGAGCUGGGACAAAGUUUUUUUAGGGUUGCAACUUGCUUUUGCAAAUGUGGCUAGUUGAACAUCUUUGCCAUCGCCCGGGGUAUAUGAACUACUGUCUGACCGGACUUAAUUGCAUUGAAGAAUAUGAAAACCGGGUAAAUGGACAUGAGUUUUCAGAAGGUACUGACGCAUGGUUCAUGUAUUUAGGUUCUUUGACCGCAAACCGAAUUGAGUGGACUUUCGGUUGGCUCCCGGUCAACGAGGCUAUUUACAUGUCUGCCGGAGUGUGCUUUAUUUUGUUGAUGGGUCUUCAGAGUAUUCAGUCGUAUCCUCCGCAUCGGGUCCUAUGCCAAUUGGGCAAAUACAAAACAGUCCCUCAUGAUGAAAAUUUGAGUCCACAGGUUACUGAACUAUGCCCAAAAGAUGCAUUCCCAGAAGAAAAGGUUCGCCUGAUUUGGCACCAAUGUAGAUUUAUGGAGCCACAAACUCAAGUGCGGGAUUUGUCCCCAGGUGAAGUAGAAUCUAACUACACGACCUGGUAUGGUAAAAGGGUUCAAGUCGAUUAAGAGCCAAAACCGCCUGCCAAAAGGCCCCAUGUCCAACAAUUCACUGAUAGAGCGCGAGAACAGUGGGUUGGGUUAGCUAAAGAGAAGGAAUACCGGACUACUAUAAGCAAGCCAGAGAAUCAAAUCAAAAAACUCAAAUUUGAUAAUUAUUUGCAGGCUACUGAGAUGAAGGAGAAAAGAAAAGGUUGGCCCGAGAAAAUGAAGCCCUCUGAGCUCAGAUCUAGAAGAUGAAAAUAACCGCUGAAAACCCGGCAAGAAGUGAAAAAGACGAAAAACUCAUAAGCAAUCUGAGGCGAAAAGUGCAUGAUUAUGGGUUUGAUCUGGCAAAGGCCGAGGAUGAAUUGGAAAAAGCUCGGGCAAAGUUGGCAAAGAAUGCAGAAGAACGGACAAAGUUUGCUCAGCAGUUAAAGUAAAGGUAUGAUGAAAAGCAGUGGCGGACCCAGUAUUUUGUGCAAACGGGUUCAAUCUUAGAAGUACAUAACUUUAGUUGUAAAAUAGUAGUUGUCAAGUGGGUUAAAAUAAAAUAUUUAUACAAAAUUUAUGCAGCUUUAAUCGUAAUUUAUACAUAUACACAGUAUUAUUUUUUGAUGAAGCGAGUUUAGUUGAACCCGCUUGACACCACGUGCGUCCACCACUGAUGAAAGGGUCACAAUUAUAAGGAAAAAACUGACUAAUCUCGAGAAUAAAAUGGUCCAGCAAGCAAAGGAUUUCAAAACCGAGAGAGAGCAUUGUUAUACAUUGAUUUCCCGUUUGAAAAAAGACAUACAACAAUUGCAAGACCAAAACCAUACAGCCUCGUAUGUAUUGGAGGCCCAGUCUCAGCAAAUUGGACGCCUACUCCAAGAAAAGGGUGUCAUUAGAAUGAGGAUUAAAGAAAUUGUUGAUUAUGUCACAAUGAAGUGCCAUGAAUGCGAAGAUAUGACAAGGUCCAUGUUCCUCGCCUCGAUGAUGACCUUUGUCCGUCAGGUGAUGGCUGAUUUAGAGUACCUUCAAGAAGAGAUUGCACGCAGCCCUGCGUCGAGACCGAAUGAUGUCCCGCGGGCCCAUGGAGUAGUAUUGGAGGCUUUUAUGUUUUCCUGAUUUUCUUUUGGUUUUGAAUCUGUAUUUCACCUUUUUGAGUCUGUUAGUCUUUUCCAAGUCUGUUUGUUUGCCUGUUUCGAGUCUGUAUGUUACCUUUAUCGUCAGUAUUUCCGAGUCCUUGUAACAGAAAAACCCAAAAAAAAUUUAUUUAAUGAAAUAUUGGAAAUCCAAAAUUUUAUUUUCUUUUAUUUCGUAUUUAUUCCCUGAACUACGUAAUGAUCUGAUUCAUGUGGUGUCAUGAUACGUAGGCAAUCCCCAUAUGAUACGAUCAUAGCAAUAAAAUUAAAAAAGAAAAAAAAGAAAAGAGAAUUGAAUGAAAAGAAAAAAAAAAGUGGCAAAACAAAAGAACAAAAGAGAGUGCAAAAAAUAAAAUAGUGACACGAACAAAGUGAGAAAAUCAAGAGUGAUUAAAGGUAGGCAUUGUCACACCUCCUUUUUACCUACACCCCGGAAGAGGUAUAAGGGAGUUUUUCCAAUUCAAGUAACAAUCGAAACGGAAUUUAUUUUUAAUAAAAAUCAGAGUCGCCACUUGGGAUAAUUUUAUGGUUUCCCAAGUCACCGGUUCAAAUCCCGAAUCGAGGAAAAGAUUGACUCUGUAUUACAGUCUGCGAACCAGAAAUCCGGGUAAGGAAUUCUGUUAACCCGGGAGAAGGUGUUAGGCAUUCCCGUAUUCCGUGGUUCUAGCACGGUCGCUCACCUAUUAUAAUUGGCCUAAUUAUCUGAUUUUUACACGUUUUAAACCUAUUGUGCAUUUUUUAACUUUUUAGCCGCUUUUUAAGACACAUCGAAGCCACGCUAUAUGAAAUGCACCAGUGGUUCACGACACGUUCAAUUUAACCUUGUUGGAAAUUGAACUCGGGUCACAUGAAAUGUGCACUCGGAUUUGAAGAUUCACGUAUCACGAUCAUGCCACUUCAGGACCAUCGUACAAGAGAGCCUUAUCCAAGACCUCCACUUUCCAUGGAGAAAAAGGUCUUUUGUGCUUUCAAAUUCAUAAAGCUUAUGCAUCCCAUACUUUGAGCCAGCACUAUAACAAGACUGUUGGUAUCCAAUUGCUUCGACAGGAUAGAAAUUCGAGGGAAGUGAAAGACGAGGCAGAACUACAACAAUACCGUCCUUUGUGACCAAAUACAAAAAACCAUGACAACUACAACCUAUAGCUUCGUCAACUAUAGCAUCCCAAACAUGAAUGUUAUAGCAGUUUUCAUCAUUUACAGUCAAGUUUACAUGUAAACUGGAAUGAACAAGUUGACACUUGACAUUUCCCUCAGUAUAUUUCUCUUCACUAGCCGAGUGAGCCCAAAAGGAGAAAAACAAACAACAGCAUCUUCUUUGGAUCCAUCUAUACCAAUGAAAACUUUUCUACUAUGGCAUGAAUGACAUCUACUACCAAAAAUCCUAUUCUUAUUUACAUCUGUAGCAUUAGAUAGGCUACUCCCAUAUGAGCCAUAUUUCCUUAACAUUUUAAAUAUGCUUAGACUAAUUUCUAGCAUUCCAGUUUAAAUAAAAUAACUCAAACAAUGUAUAAUACCAAACAAGUAUAAUAGUAAAAGUUAUAAAUAAAUUAAAAUGGCCAUGAGCUAAUCUUCAUAAUACUAGACAACGAUAAAUUCUCAUUUUAGCAUGGAGUAAAUUAAACUAGACAGAUAUUAUUCGCACACCAAUAAAAAAUAAGAUCUGAGAUAAAAAUGAACAAAGUUGGAAUAUAACCUUAAGCAAAACGACUCGUCUUCCAAUUUAAGAACGAAUUUCAAGUAUGCAUAUGUGCACAAGCCAUGGUUGACCAAGUGCAUUGAACAAAAUUUGAAACAAGGACCGCGAACCGGAAUAAACAACUCGCAGGCGAUCUCAACUUAACCGGAAAGCCUCACUAGCGGCCUCGAUAAGAGCCUAGUCUCAGUAGGGUCGGAGCUGCUGCAUUUUUGCAGCUUUUGGGGUCGUUUUUUGGCUACUUCGAUGGCUGAAAAUGAUUAAUAAAGCAGUGCUUCAAAGCUGGUUUUUACAGCUGAAAAAAUGAUGUUAUAAAGGUGACGUUUCAGUUAUGUAAAAGGUGAUUUUGGGGUGAUUCAAAGCUGAAGUUUAGGGGUGUUUUGAAGCAUUUUAAUGGAGGUUUCUCAAUGGAUUUUUGGAGGAGAAGAACUAGCUUUAAUAGGUUUUAUGACUGUAUUUUUCAUGGUGUUAACACAGUAAGAGUAAAACCAAGUAAAGAAGAAAGGAAAAAGAGAUCUAAUGUUGCUUCCCCUUUUUUUGUUUUUGCUCGUUUUCUAUCCUUUUCAAGAUCUAUUUUUUUCUGUUUUCUUGUGCUC
rnacentral:lncRNA from 1 species